UGAGAUCUAGCCAAAAGGUAAGGCAAUAGAUUUUGAUUCUAUGACUAUUGGUUCGAGUCCAAUGAUUUCAG
rnacentral:tRNA from 1 species